rnacentral:rRNA from 1 species
GACGAACCGAGCGAACGUUAUUCGGAAUCACUGGGCUUAAAGGGCGCGUAGGCGGGCCAUCAAGUCAGGGGUGAAAGCCCCCAGCUCAACUGGGAAGUGCCUCUGAUACUGGUGGCCUCGAGGGAGGUAGGGGCGUGCGGAACUUCCGGUGGAGCGGUGAAAUGCGUAGAUAUCGGAAGGAACACCGGUGGCGAAAGCGGCGCGCUGGACCUCUUCUGACGCUGAGGCGCGAAAGCCAGGGGAGCGAACGGG